rnacentral:ncRNA from 2 species
AUGUGAUGAAGAGGUCGCGGUUAACAAUCAGUAAGGGAUUCCCUGAAAGGUGUUGCUGCCGAAAUACUCUGUAUUGGGGCCAAGGUUGAACAAAUCUGGCACUGUCGGACAAAGCCGCCCAGCUUUGUUCGGUGAGCUUCUCACGUU